UUGACCUCGGAUCAGGUAGGAAUACCCGCUGAACUUAAGCAUAUCAAUAAGNCGGAGGA
rnacentral:rRNA from 1 species